rnacentral:rRNA from 1 species
CAUCGCCUCCUGCAACUAAACUGAGUAUAGGAGGUCCAGCCUGCCCAGUGACUACGGGUUCAACGGCCGCGGUAUUUUGACCGUGCAAAGGUAGCGCAAUCACUUGUCUCUUAAAUAGAGACCUGUAUGAAUGGCUAGACGAGGGCUUAACUGUCUCCCCUAUCAAGUCAGUGAAAUUGAUCUAUCCGUGCAGAAGCGGGUAUGACUAUACAAGACGAGAAGACCCUUUGGAGCUUAAGGUACAAAUUUACCCACGUUAAACAACUCCAUAAAAAGUAAGAACUUAGUGGCAGAUAAAAUUUUACCUUCGGUUGGGGCGACCGCGGAGGAAAAACAAGCCUCCGAGUGGACUGGGCCAAACCCCUAAAGCUAAUAGAGACAUUUAUAAGCCGCAGAAUAUCUGACCAAAAAUGAUCCGACCACAGUGAUCGAUCAACGAACCAAGUUACCCUAGGGAUAACAGCGCAAUCCCCUCCCAGAGUCCAUAUCGACGAGGGGGUUUACGACCUCGAUGUUGGAUCAGGACAUCCUAAUGGUGCAGCCGCUAUUAAGGGUUCGUUUGUUCAACGAUUAAAGUCCUACGUGA